AUAUCUCGGUCAUCUAAUCGGACCGCUGGCUUCUUCAAUGAUUUUGGAAGUUCCAAUGAAUCUGCUGGCUUCUUCAAUGAUUUUGGAAGUUCCAACCAAUCCAAAGAAUCUGCUGGCUUCUUUAAUGAUUUUGGAAGUUCCAACCAAUCCAAUAAGUCUUCGACUUUAGCUUGAGAAUGAUUCAAACCUUUAAAAAAUGUGUCUAGUGGAAGGUUCUUCAUGCAACUUUCCAAAAACUCUUGUGUACCCAUACGAAGAUCACUAGCUGAUGAUUGAGUAACGUUUGCACGAGGUAAAUUGACACACGAAUCAGCA
rnacentral:lncRNA from 1 species